AUUGAACGCUGGCGGCAGGCCUAACACAUGCAAGUCGAACGAGUGGCGGACGGGAGUGUAAUGUCUGUGACCCUGCCUGAUGGAGGGGGUUAACUACUGGAAACGGUAGCUAAACCCGCAUAGUAUCGGAUGUGCCCCUAUGGGAUUAGCUAGUGGGUGGGGUAACGGUUGACCUAGCCGACGAUCCCUAGCUGGGCUGAGAGGAUGACCAGCCACACUGGAACUGAGACACGGUCUAGACUCCCACGAGAGGCAGCAGUGGGGAAUGUUGGACAAUGGGCGCAAGCCGGAAACGCCCAUGCCGCGUGUAUGGAGAGGGCCUUCGGGUUGUAAAGUACUUUAAGCGGUGACGCGUUACCCGCAGAAGAAGCGCCGGCUAACUCCGUGCCAGCAGCCGCGGUAAUUC
rnacentral:rRNA from 1 species